GCCUAGGAGGUGUAGUGGUAGCACGCGUUGCCGGCAUGGAUAAAACGCGGGUUCGACUCCCGCAUGAGGCC